GGGGGUUCGGAGCUUCACUCCCAACCCAAUGUGACGUUACCAAACUGUUGCCUCGGCGGGAUCUUCUGCCCCGGGUGCGUCGCAGCCCCGGACCAAGGCGCCCGCCGGAGGAAUCAACCAAAACUCUUAUUGUAUACCCCCUCGCGGGUUUUUUUAUAAUCUGAGCCUUCUCGGCGCCUCUCGUAGGCGUUUCGAAAAUGAAUCAAAACUUUCAACAACGGAUCUCUUGGUUCUGGCAUCGAUGAAGAACGCAGCGAAAUGCGAUAAGUAAUGUGAAUUGCAGAAUUCAGUGAAUCAUCGAAUCUUUGAACGCACAUUGCGCCCGCCAGUAUUCUGGCGGGCAUGCCUGUCCGAGCGUCAUUUCAACCCUCGAACCCCUCCGGGGGGUCGGCGUUGGGGAUCGGCCUUCCUUCACGGGGGCCGUCUCCGAAAUACAGUGGCGGUCUCGCCGCAGCCUCUCCUGCGCAGUAGUUUGCACACUCGCAUCGGGAGCGCGGCGCGUCCACAGCCGUUAAACACCCAACUUUCUGAAAUGUUGACCUCGGAUCAGGUAGGAAUACCCGCUGAACUUAAGCAUAUCAAUAGCCCGGAGGAA
rnacentral:rRNA from 1 species